CCCUAAAGGUUUACUGUGUCUGUGUUCUCUUCAGGGACCUCAGGGAGUCAGUGGGGCCACUGGCCCAGAGGGGCUCCCCGGCCCUGAUGUGAGUGACCCACAGUAACAAUACUACAAACAAAUAAACUGGUACUUACUGGCCAUUGUUUAUCACUAAAGUUGAGUGUGUCAUUAACUUGUGUCCAUGUGUUUGUGACUUUCCAGGGGGAGGCUGGGUUUGAUGGGCCUCCAGGGACUCCUGGGUCAAUGGGAGCCGCUGGUUUCACAGGCUCUGUCGGCGCUCAGGGAGUUAACGGCUCAAAGGUGAGAUUACAUUUUGAUCCCAGGAGAUGACGGUCCUCCCAUUAUUUUAGAUAAUGUAUCAACUU
rnacentral:lncRNA from 1 species